UACGAAGGGGGCUAGCGUUGCUCGGAAUGACUGGGCGUAAAGGGCGCGUAGGCGGUUUGUACAGUCAGGUGUGAAAUUCCCGGGCUCAACCUGGGGGCGGCACUUGAUACGUAUGGACUGGAGUGGGGAAGAGGGUCGUGGAAUUCCCAGUGUAGAGGUGAAAUUCGUAGAUAUUGGGAAGAACACCAGUGGCGAAGGCGGCUUGCUGGGCCGGACCUGACGCUGAGACGCGAAGGCGUGGGGAGCGAACGGG
rnacentral:rRNA from 1 species